rnacentral:rRNA from 1 species
AUUGAACGCUGGCGGCAGGCCUAACACAUGCAAGUUGAACGGUAACAGGAAGCAGCUUGCUGCUUCGCUGACGAGUGGCGGACGGGUGAGUAAUGUCUGGGAAGCUGCCUGAUGGAGGGGGAUAACUACUGGAAACGGUAGCUAAUACCGCAUAAUGUCGCAAGACCAAAGAGGGGGACCUUCGGGCCUCUUGCCCUCGGAUGUGCCCAGAUGGGAUUAGCUUGUUGGUGGGGUAACGGCUCACCAAGGCGACGAUCCCUAGCUGGUCUGAGAGGAUGACCAGCCACACUGGGACUGAGACACGGUCCAGACUCCUACGGGAGGCAGCAGUGGGGAAUAUUGCACAAUGGGCGCAAGCCUGAUGCAGCCAUGCCGCGUGUAUGAAGAAGGCCUUCGGGUUGUAAAGUACUUUCAGCGGGGAGGAAGGGAGUAAAGUUAAUACCUUUGCUCAUUGACGUUACCCGCAGAAGAAGCACCGGCUAACUCCGUG